UGUUUAGUUAAUGGGUCUGUGAAUUAUUAAAUUCACUCUAGUCCUUCAUUCAAUAUAAUUAAAUUCCUAAAUUCAUUAAGCCCAGCCAUGCCCAGCCCUAGUCCUUCAUUCACUCUCUUUCUCACUCUCUUCCUCUUCUCUCUCUCAUCUAAGAUCCAAAUCGUGAGGUAGAUCAAAAUCCAAAUCCCAUUGCCAGUCGCCACUCCUUCGUCGGAACUCCGACCCUCUCAUCAAUCGAAGACAAACCCUAAGCCGCUACUCCACUUGCACACUUUGCUGACGCCCCCGAAGGAGGCUACCCACUGCUGGCAUAACCGUCAAGGGAUAUGCAGUAUCAGGAGGUGGCCGUGCAAUUGAGAGAGUAGAUGUAUCCAUUAAUGGUGGCAGAACCUGGGUAGAAGCAUCCAGAUACCAGAAUGCGGACAUUCCAUACAUUGCUGAUAAUGCAAGUAGUGACAAAUGGGCCUACGUGUUUUUUGAGGCAAACGUUGAUGUCCCUAUGACUACUGAGAUAGUUGCUAAAGCGACGAAGUUAUUUCAGAAAAAUAUAUCUUGGAAUAUGGAACGGAUUGUCUAGAGAUGCAUGUUGGAGCAGUUGAGCCUGAUGAACGUGCUUUGGUGGUUGAUGAUUUGAUUGCCACUGGUGGAACCCUCUGUGCAGCAAUGAAUUUACUGGAACGUGCAGGGGUUGAAGUUGUUGAAUGCGCAUGUGUAGUUGAAUUACCAGAUUUAAAGGUUUGUAUGCAAUGCACUCUUGGCCGCUUUCAUUUCCUUAGCUGUUAGUUAGUUCUUCUGUGGUUUGGUUCUUAAAUAUCAUCAAUUGAUUGUGAUUCCUGCUUCUAUAAUUACUUGUUUUUAUUGAAACUGUGCUCUGCUUAUAUGCUACCACUAUCUCA